CCUACGGGUGGCUGCAGUGGGGAAUAUUGGGCAAUGGGCGCGAGCCUGACCCAGCGACGCCGCGUGAGGGAAGACUGUCUUCGGAUUGGAAACCUCUUUCAACAGGGAAGACAAAAGGACGAUACCUGCCGAAUAAGCCACGGCUAACGACGUGCCAGCAGCCGCGGUAAUACGUAGGUGGCAAGCGUUAUCCGGAAUUACUGGGUGUAAAGGGUGUGUAGGCGGGUUUGCAAGUCAGAUGUGAAAAUUAUGGGCUCAACCCAUAACCUGCGUCUGAAACUACAGAUCUUGAGAGUGGGAGAGGCAAACGGAAUGCCCGGUGUAGCGGUGAAAUGCGUAGAUAUCGGGAGGAACACCAGUGGCGAAGGCGGUCUACUAGACCAUAACUGACGCUGAUACACGAAAGCGUGGGGAGCAAACAGGAUUAGAUACCCCAGUAGUC
rnacentral:rRNA from 1 species